GAGCAGUUUCAGAUCAAGGUGGAGUUUACUUUUCAAAGCGAAGUGCAGCCGGCUGUGGCUAGCAUCGUUCUGUGCAGCUCCUAUUUUCUACACCAAAGAUGCACAAUUGCAAGCUGAAGAUGUACAGGAAUUGCUGUUUCUGGUUUCUUCGCCAUGCCGACCGAGGCUCAACCCACACCCAAGAGGAGAACAUAAUUGGUGGUUGAUGUAAGGGGACCCGGCUGAGCACAAAUCCAAACGGUCCGAAGAUGAAAGGUGCUGGACCUGGAAACGAGACACAAGUUUCCUGGUUCAAAAAACCCAGGUGGAGGACCACAACUACGGCCAUUUGGGCCAAGUACUUAGCUCUUCAUCUGAAAACCACUGAUUAAAAAAGGCGUAAACACACAAGGUUGCCAAAAAGCUUUCAACUUUCCGAAAAUUAACUCUCAUUCCUCAUCCAAAGUUGAAUCAUUAGUCAUACACAGUACAGAUCAUUAAGCUUAUGCCACUUAAGGUGUUUAGGAAAAUCUUUUUAUAGGUGACUUCAGGUUGAAAACCAAAAAGUACAUUUUAAUCACCUAAGGGACCAUAAUUAAAUCAUUCACUAUCAUCAUAAAUGUCAAAAGGGAUGGCUUGAUUCAAAUAUGAAAGAAAAAAAACACCUAUUUUCUACAAUAAUGAUAAGAAAUCUUAAGGAAAAAUCAAAAUAAUAUACUUUUCAGACCACCCCUACCCCUUUAUAAUGUAUGUACAAUCCCUAAACACAGGACUCAUGUCUGUUUUAAUAUAAUUGACCUGUUAAGGAAUUAAACCUGUAAAUCCUAUCUUUGCUGUUAUAAUAAUUAUUCUUAAGUGACAGUUAUGCAUACAAUUACAUAUAUCUUAUCUUCGACUAAAUACCCAGUCAGAAAAACAGUUUUGAGCCCUGAAAUACAAGGAACAGUGAACAAUAUUUUGCCUGUAGACAUGGUGACACCACUCUCUAUAGCAUACAGUAUGAUGUAUGUAACCCACGCCUCACGCUGCAGGGCAGGGUGGGUGUCUGUGGUCGCCGUCUCUGCCCUCUGUGUCUCCAGUGGGCCACCCUACACAUUUCUCCCUGGGGCAAUCGGCCAAACCCCAAGGUAGCAAACCAUGAAAAUGAGAGCGUUGCCUUAGGAGUUAAAAAAAGAUAUGUUUUGAUCAUCCUCUUCAGCUAUUUAUUCCCACACUUCUUCUUCUAUAUCUAUAGAAUUAUAUUUGCUGGUGAAAGUGCGAAUUAAAGUUCAAUCGUUUAGGUUUUUCUGCUACCUUACCAUUAUUGCUACCAAAUUAAGAUUCUCCUUG